GUCUACAGUCAUACCACACUGAACAUGCCAAUCUCAUCUGAUCUCAGAAGAUAAGCGGGGUCAGGCCUGGUUAAUACUCAGAUGGGAAGAGUGAACCAUAAAGAUAGCUGAGCAUUUUCUGUAAACA
ensembl:rRNA 5S_rRNA 5S ribosomal RNA